GACGAACGCUGGCGGCGUGCCUAACACAUGCAAGUCGAACGGACUGCGAGGAGCUUGCUCCUCAAAGUUAGUGGCGGACGGGUGAGUAACGCGUGAGUAACCUGCCUUACAGAGGGGGAUAACGUUUGGAAACGAACGCUAAUACCGCAUAAUGUAUCUGAUAUCGCAUGGUAUUGAUACCAAAGAUUUUAUCGCUGUAAGAUGGACUCGCGUCUGAUUAGAUAGUUGCGGGGUAACGGCCCACCAAGUCGACGAUCAGUAGCCGGACUGAGAGGUUGACCGGCCACAUUGGGACUGAGAUACGGCCCAGACUCCUACGGGAGGCAGCAGUGGGGAAUAUUGGGCAAUGGACGCAAGUCUGACCCAGCAACGCCGCGUGAAGGAAGAAGGCUUUCGGGUUGUAAACUUCUUUUAAGUGGGAAGAGCAGAAGACGGUACCACUUGAAUAAGCCACGGCUAACUACGUGCCAGCAGCCGC
rnacentral:rRNA from 1 species